rnacentral:lncRNA from 1 species
AUUGCAGCUGAUAAAUUAUCAUUCUGUUCAAAUGAUAACUGGCGUGUAACAUUUAAUGAAGUUGUACAGAGUUCUCAUUUUUACUGAUUGCAGCGAUAGCGUCGAAGAAUAAGUGGAAGAUUCUAAAGAUGGAAGACUGUCAGUCGAAUGAAGCUCAGCUAAUGACGAUUGUUCUGUGUAACGCACGCUUGCUUUAUUUCGCAUGGUCGAUCAUUAUUCUCUGUGCGGCAUGGUGUUUCUGGAUAACACCUUUUCUUUGCUUCACAACAUACGUUUUCACUGGAAUGGGACU